UACGGAGGAUGCGAGCGUUAUCCGGAUUUAUUGGGUUUAAAGGGUGCGUAGGCGGAAUAAUAAGUCAGCGGUGAAAGCCUGUGGCUCAACCAUAGAAUUGCCAUUGAUACUGUUAUUCUUGAGUAUAGUUGAAGUGGGCGGAAUGUGUAAUGUAGCGGUGAAAUGCUUAGAUAUUACACAGAACACCAAUUGCGAAGGCAGCUCACUAAGCUGUUACUGACGCUGAGGCACGAAAGCGUGGGGAGCAAACAGG
rnacentral:rRNA from 1 species